rnacentral:rRNA from 1 species
UACGGAGGGAGCUAGCGUUAUUCGGAAUUACUGGGCGUAAAGCGCACGUAGGCGGCUUUGUAAGUUAGAGGUGAAAGCCUGGAGCUCAACUCCAGAAUUGCCUUUAAGACUGCAUCGCUCGAAUCCGGGAGAGGUGAGUGGAAUUCCGAGUGUAGAGGUGAAAUUCGUAGAUAUUCGGAAGAACACCAGUGGCGAAGGCGGCUCACUGGACCGGCACUGACGCUGAGGUGCGAAAGCGUGGGGAGCGAACAGG